rnacentral:rRNA from 1 species
AUGGCCAUGGCGACCUCCACCUUCUCCCCGCACCCGCUCUCGCUCAAGCCCCAGCUCGGCCCCAGGCCCCACCGCCUCCACCUCGCCCCCUUCCCGCGCCUCCGCUCCCACCGCCGCCUCGCCGCCGCCGGGGAGGCCCCCGUCGAGGCGCCGCCCAAGCCCGCGGAGGCGGAUCCCUCCCCCGCCGCGUCCAACGGGUCCGCGGCAGCCGCACCCGCCGCUGCCGCUCCCGCUGCUCCGGUCGCCGCGGCCAAGGCCGAGGCGGUGGCGUCGCCCAAGUUCCAGGACUCGAGGUGGGUCAACGGGACCUGGGACCUCAGCCGGUUCGGCAACACCGGCGGCGCCGUCGACUGGGACGCCGUCAUAGACGCCGAGGCCAGGAGGAGGAAAUGGCUGGAAGAUUCCCCGGAGGCAAGUAGCAGCGAAGACGCCGUUGUGUUCGACACUUCGAUUAUCCCAUGGUGGGCAUGGAUCAAGCGGUUCCAUCUCCCUGAAGCCGAGAAGCUAAAUGGCCGUGCUGCCAUGGUGGGCUUCUUCAUGGCUUACUUUGUCGAUAGCUUGACGGGCGUGGGGCUCGUCGACCAAAUGGGCAACUUCUUCUGCAAAACCCUGCUGUUUGUUGCUGUGGCUGGGGUGCUGCUGGUCAGGAAAAACGAGGACAUCGACAAUCUGAAGAAGCUCAUCGACGAGUCGACAUUCUACGACAAGCAAUGGCAGUCAACUUGGCAAGAUGAUUCCCCUUCCGGGCCAAAGAAAUAG